UAGCCUAGUGGUAAGGCUUUGGAUCGCUAAUCCGGAGACGACGGGUUCGAUUCCCAU
rnacentral:tRNA from 1 species